CCCCUUCCUCCCACCCCCAUCCCCAUCCCCGUUCGCCUUUCCCCACCACCCCGACCUCCUCGAACUCUACCUCCCCGCCGACCCCUUCUUCGCCCCGCCCCCCAUCCCCUCCCCGCACGCCUUCCUCCUGCACGACCUCACCGACCGCGCCGCAUGUACACCUACGCGGCCACGGAGCCCGGCGGCCGGAAGGUCAAGUGGACGGCGGAGGAGAAGCCGCGCGGCGGGGGCCGGGCGCUCAAGUGGGAGGCGGAGCUCGCCUCCCCGAACGCCGGCCAGGUCUUGCUGCAGGGUAGUGAAGGAUUGACGAGCCAAAUAGAAGGGGCAGUGAGAAAUUGAAGGACCAUGAGCAAUGCUGAGACUUGCUGGUUUAUUAGGUAUGACCAUGAGCAAUGUUGAGACUUGACGCAAUUCACUCGUUAAACAUGCCUAGCACAUUCAAAGUGAUUCAUUGAUUCCUCUUUACUAUGUCAUCGUCACCUAAUAGAAGAUUUUUAUGUAUGCCUAGCACAUUCAAAGUGAUUUUAUUUUUAUUCGAAUUUUAGGAUUGGUUUCAUGUAUUAACUCUUGAUCGGCAAUUUCCAAAAUUUAGUUAAUUAUGGACUCUUUUAGAUAUUUUUACUUGACUCUUUUAGAUUUUGCAGGAAAGAAGAAUGUCAAAUUACCUACUAAUUUUGAUUCUUCAUAUCCAUAUCUGCAGAGAUGCGAAGUAUUUGUUCAGAAAAUAAGAUGGUGCAUAUAUAAAGGUUAGUCUGCAUUUAGUGAUUUAGGGGCAUUGUAUCACUGCACAAAAUAGUUUUUGAUAUUGUUUCAUUAUUAAUUCUGAUUUUCUAUAAAUCAAACCAACAAUUUUAUAUAAAGUGAUUGCAAGUUUUGUUAUUGAUUUCAUACAAAAAACAAACUUGCUAUUGUCUUUUAGUUUAUCAUUUCAUUUAGUUUCAGGGCAACCAUCUCAUUUGCCAUUCACUUUCUAACUCGUAUGGAUUUUUUAUGGAGUUUGUAAGGAUAAGCAAAUAAAUGCAUCGCCCACUUCUUGAGUGCCACUGAAACGCUGAUUGCAUGCAAGAUUUGAUCAAUUAGGCUGCUGGUAUUAUCUAUGAUAUUUGCACGUAAGAUUUGACAGGUGACAUCAGCACUGAUUUGCCCACCGUGAAUUCCUGUUUGUGUUACAACAUGCGUAGAGCUAGCCUAUAGCCUCCAUAAAAAAAAUACCAUAGCCUCUCGAGCCGUUAUUAAUUUGUGCCCAUGUACCAACUCCAAGAUAAAACAAUUGUGUCCCUGUACAACAUGUUUUUCUUUUUAAGAAUCUACAACAUGUUGGGCUGACCGUGUGCACGUUCCGAUUUAAUAGGCUUGCAUCGUAUGUUUUUCUGUUCUUUUUUGUGUCUGCUUGGAUAGUAGAUGUCAUAGUAGGACCUUGCCUUUUUAUUUGUACGUGACUUUCUCUAGCUUUUGCAUCGGCUUGCAUCGGCUUAAAUUCCAGCAAAGAAGCAGCAGUCUUGCAACCGGACUUCUAUUCUUUUCUGAAGUUGAACCGGAUUGGCCUUUUUCCUAGCCAAGCAUAGAGUUCCUUGGGUUCCCUUCUAUGAUAGAUUAUCGCAUACCUGCCUAUGAUAAACUCUUUUCACGUGCCAAAGACUGUUUUUUUUUUCAUGAUAGAUCUCUUUAUACGUGUCAACAAUUUAUUGUACCGAAUAGGUGCUGUACAUAUCUUUGUUCAUCUUUCAAUCUCGACCGUUCUAAAUAAAAUCAAUGGUAAUUCUUUGAGCAUAUGUGUAUAAACGUGAUGGCUUGUUUGCCUUUUGUCUUAAGUAUAUAAUAGAAGAUUUAUCUAUAAAUUUUGAUUAGAAAUAAGUGUUUUACUCUACUAUAAUAAUGCAUAUGAUACCAGAUUAGUUGUAAGGAACUUGUUCAGACAUGUUAGAAUGCAAAAAUUUAAUCACAGAAGUAGUACCUGCAGUUAUAUUAUACAAAGUUGAUAACGGUGUUACGGUGGCGUCAUGGUACCGAUGCACUUGAUGUCAUAGCAGUUAUAUUGUACAGGAUGUGCUGAUAUGGUACAGACAUUGUGCGUGCGAUUGACCGUCUAUGUGUCUGCAACGUUGCCGCGUAUAGAUGCGUUGUUGACGUGCCUUGUAUCUCCAGGAUGUGUGGCAACGGCCUAGUGUAUACCAAUGCACUUGAUUCAGGCGUACGGAGGUGUGCCUUUCUCAUCUUGAGCGUACGUAAUCCUCCCGGGAAUCAAGUCAAUGAAAAUCAAUCAGCCAAGCCAUAUUGUGUUUUUUGCUUUUUGCAGGGAGCCGUGUUGUGUGUUCCAAUCGGAAAGCUAUCAGCCGCCAGCACGGAUUGUAUUCUGUUUAGAGGUCGAGUUCGCAUGCACACUGCAUACUGUCGGGCCUGGAAAUCUACUCAAUAGACAUGCAAUUUCUCCAUGAAGCUCUAAGUUUUCAUCUCUCACCACGAUCCUUGAGUACUGUGGAGCAGCUUCUUCAUCCAGCCUCUUGUUUUCGUCUUCAGCAGGACUACAAGGCGAAUUGCUACAUAAACAGCAGAGAGAGAGCAUGGGGACGGCCUGCCCCACAUCCCAUGAGGAACUUUCGCGCAAAGAAAACACACACAGGGCAGGAAGGGGAAAACAUAUAGGAGUCUCUCUAUUGGAAGGGGAAAAUAUAAUAUUAGACACCAUUUAUUUUUCUGCUCGCUGAUGCAUGCAAUGUAUCAUUUGGCCUUGAUUUAAUGUACUGCACUUUUCUUCAUUGCUCUCUGUUCUUUAAUAAGGCAGACUCAUAUAGAACCUGAUAUUUCUUAGUGAUGUCUUCAGACAUGAAUGUCAUUUUGCACCGAAGGUUUGUAACCAUUGGGGAAUGUUUUCUUGCUAUGUAUCAAGUUGCCAUGGGGGUGAUCUAGAGGUCUCUUCCUUGUCCAAAGUAUGUCAUACCUAAUCAAGACAUGUUCAUUUAAUUUACCCGUCAUGUAAAUGACACAACAUGAUUCACUUGUGUAUAGUGUAAACAUAUAUUUAUUUAUGGCAAGCAGGUGUUCAAAUUAUAGUUGUGAAACGUGUAUAGUGUAAGGAUAUAAUUAUUAAGGGAAGUGACGUCACAGUGGUC